rnacentral:rRNA from 1 species
UACGAAGGGGGCUAGCGUUGCUCGGAAUCACUGGGCGUAAAGGGUGCGUAGGCGGGUCUUUUAAGUCAGGGGUGAAAUCUUGGAGCUCAACUCCAGAACUGCCUUUGAUACUGAAGAUCUUGAGUUCGGGAGAGGUGAGUGGAACUGCGAGUGUAGAGGUGAAAUUCGUAGAUAUUCGCAAGAACACCAGUGGCGAAGGCGGCUCACUGGCCCGAUACUGACGCUGAGGCACGAAAGCGUGGGGAGCAAACAGG